rnacentral:rRNA from 1 species
AGAGUUUGAUCCUGGCUCAGAUUGAACGCUGGCGGCAUGCCUUACACAUGCAAGUCGAACGGCAGCAUAGGAGCUUGCUCCUGAUGGCGAGUGGCGAACGGGUGAGUAAUAUAUCGGAACGUGCCCUAGAGUGGGGGAUAACUAGUCGAAAGACUAGCUAAUACCGCAUACGAUCUACGGAUGAAAGUGGGGGAUCGCAAGACCUCAUGCUCCUGGAGCGGCCGAUAUCUGAUUAGCUAGUUGGUGGGGUAAAAGCCUACCAAGGCGACGAUCAGUAGCUGGUCUGAGAGGACGACCAGCCACACUGGGACUGAGACACGGCCCAGACUCCUACGGGAGGCAGCAGUGGGGAAUUUUGGACAAUGGGGGCAACCCUGAUCCAGCAAUGCCGCGUGAGUGAAGAAGGCCUUCGGGUUGUAAAGCUCUUUUGUCAGGGAAGAAACGGUAGUAGCUAAUAUCUAUUACUAAUGACGGUACCUGAAGAAUAAGCACCGGCUAACUACGUGCCAGCAGCCGCGGUAAUACGUAGGGUGCAAGCGUUAAUCGGAAUUACUGGGCGUAAAGCGUGCGCAGGCGGUUGUGUAAGUCAGAUGUGAAAUCCCCGGGCUCAACCUGGGAAUUGCAUUUGAGACUGCACGGCUAGAGUGUGUCAGAGGGGGGUAGAAUUCCACGUGUAGCAGUGAAAUGCGUAGAUAUGUGGAGGAAUACCGAUGGCGAAGGCAGCCCCCUGGGAUAACACUGACGCUCAUGCACGAAAGCGUGGGGAGCAAACAGGAUUAGAUACCCUGGUAGUCCACGCCCUAAACGAUGUCUACUAGUUGUCGGGUCUUAAUUGACUUGGUAACGCAGCUAACGCGUGAAGUAGACCGCCUGGGGAGUACGGUCGCAAGAUUAAAACUCAAAGGAAUUGACGGGGACCCGCACAAGCGGUGGAUGAUGUGGAUUAAUUCGAUGCAACGCGAAAAACCUUACCUACCCUUGACAUGGAUGGAAUCCUGAAGAGAUUUGGGAGUGCUCGAAAGAGAACCAUCACACAGGUGCUGCAUGGCUGUCGUCAGCUCGUGUCGUGAGGUGUUGGGUUAAGUCCCGCAACGAGCGCAACCCUUGUCAUUAGUUGCUACGAAAGGGCACUCUAAUGAGACUGCCGGUGACAAACCGGAGGAAGGUGGGGAUGACGUCAAGUCCUCAUGGCCCUUAUGGGUAGGGCUCCACACGUCAUACAAUGGUACAUACAGAGGGCCGCCAACCCGCGAGGGGGAGCUAAUCCCAGAAAGUGUAUCGUAGUCCGGAUUGGAGUCUGCAACUCGACUCCAUGAAGUUGGAAUCGCUAGUAAUCGCGGAUCAGCAUGUCGCGGUGAAUACGUUCCCGGGUCUUGUACACACCGCCCGUCACACCAUGGGAGCGGGUUUUACCAGAAGUGGGUAGCCUAACCGCAAGGAGGGCGCUCACCACGGUAGGAUUCGUGACUGGGGUGAAGUCGUAACAAGGUAGCCGUA